UGAAACUGAAACAGGCACUGAAUGCUGACUUCUAAAUCAAUUACUAGUUCAAGCCAGUCAUUAUUUUGAAUCCUUAACACAGUAUUAACAAUGAAACCAAUACUAAACCAUACUAUGUCUAUAAUUAAUAAUCACGAAUUAACAGUCCUAAGGAGUCCAAUUUAAGUGAAAAUUUAACAACUAUCAUACCUCUCACAUAAGGAAUGAGCAAGGACAUGUAAUCAAUCCACAU
rnacentral:lncRNA from 1 species